rnacentral:lncRNA from 1 species
UAUAUAUGAGGAGCUUUUAUAGCUUAUCUAACCUCUCCACGGUUCUUGUUAUCUCUUUGGAUCUCUAAAUCUUUGACCAGCUUCAACCAGACGUCUUUCACUUUACCAGGUUCAAGUUCACAAAGUCGGAUUUGGGCACAACCAAGAUGUUGGCUCUCCUGGAACCUCUGGUCCACCUUUCGUUGACAAAUGGACUGCCUUCUCCAUUGAACAAAUUGAUUAUCUGCUUUCUUCUCUAUCUCUUUAAUUAUUCAGUCUGAUUGUGAAGGAGACGAACAUCUCGUCUUAAUAAAAAGAGAUGAACAUGUGCAUGGACUGUGACAUGUGGCAUAUGGUGCUGUUGUCACCGAGUGUGCGUGGCUUACUAGGAUAUAUACAAGAACUUGUCAAAAAUGUUUUGUCAAGAUGUGUCAACAGAUUCAGAAACCUGUUAAGAUAGUGAUACGUGUAGACUUUUAUGAGCUCAUAUUAAAAUGUAGGAAAUAAUUUAUUUAUGGCUUCCGGUAUUAGCAAAAUCUUAUGAUACUCGAGUGGAUGUUUCUUGUUUCCUUUUAAAGCAAGUAACAAAAUUAUUGACUAGGAAUUUCACAAAACAGGGGACCUCAUUUCCAAGUCUCUAGCUUUCUCAGCUACAUGAAGACUCGUCUCUGUUUGACAGAACAAAUACGUUUGAGGCUACUAGACACAAUGUACAUUUGAAGUUGAGAAUCCUCCAAAUAUGUAGUUGAGCAAACAAACUUAGGAGUCACGAUAAAUUGAUUGAGCCAUCCACUUGAGAUGCAGCUGCAGCUUGCCCGCUUUGGAUUCGUCUAACUCGAACCAGUCUGUGUAUUCCUCUUCCAUUAUAACCCUUGUCAACGUCAAGAUGCAUCUCCCAAUGUAGUCCUACACGUCAAGUAAAGCCACAACGUUUAUUGCCAACACAAUAACAAUAAACAAAGCGAGAAAAAAAUAAAUAUCCAUCUGAUGCGAUGCAGCGCAAUCAAGAUUGUUACCUUUCCAAAUGUGUCAUGGUCCCAAACUUCAAGGACUAGCAUAUCGUGUAACCCGUCUUCAACUACAAAAUCAAAAGUCUGGUUCCAGACAGGGUUUAAGCUGUCAUUGACAACCUGGUGAAGCAAAAUUACAAUUUAGUUAGAUACGAGGAUGAAACAUCGAUGACUUGGAUAAACACUUGAUGCUAAGAUUGAGAGAUCUUACCCGAGUUUUGCUCUUAGCACCUGAUUUCUUCAUGGAGAGGACGACAAAUGGAUCAGCUUUCCCCAUCAGAUCUUGUAUGGGUAUCUCUUCUGCAGAUAUCACUGUCACAGAGAGCACUCCUCUUACAAUGACAUCUUUUCUUUUACGCGAUGAUGCAUUCACUUCAUCUGCCGUAUCAUUCUUGAGCACCUUUUCUAAGGAAGUCAUCGAUGAAGAUGUGAAGGGAUUUACGCCGUUUCCCGCACCGAAAGGAACAUAUAGUAGCUCAAGGUGAACCUAAGUUACAGAGAAUCAAUAACGACGUGUAAUCAUUAGCCAUGACAGAUAAUCACAGGAUUUAUAGGUUAUGACGAUUAUAUAUGAGGAGCUUUUAUAGCUUAUCUAACCUCUCCACGGUUCUUGUUAUCUCUUUGGAUCUCUAAAUCUUUGACCAGCUUCAACCAGACGUCUUUCACUUUACCAGGUUCAAGUUCACAAAGUCGGAUUUGGGCACAACCAAGAAGCUCAGAUGCCUGUACACCCUCGUCAUCAUAUACUCUAACCACCAAAUGUUGGGUUGAUGCGUCUUCCACAACAAAUUCAAAAUGCUCAUUCCAGAUGGGAUUCAGGUC